AGACCGAUAGCGAACAAGUACAGUGAUGGAAAGAUGAAAAGAACUUUGAAAAGAGAGUGAAAAAGUACGUGAAAUUGUUGAAAGGGAAGGGCUUGAGAUCAGACUUGGUAUUUUGCAAGUUACUCUUUCGGGGGUGGCCUCUGCGGUUUACCGGGCCAGCAUCGGUUUGGAGCGGUAGGAUAAUGGCGGGGGAAUGUGGCACGACUUUGGUUGUGUGUUAUAGCCUCUGACGAUACUGCCAGCCUAGACCGAGGACUGCGGUUUUUACCUAGGAUGUUGGCAUAAUGAUCUUAAGUCGCCCGUCUUGAAACACGGACCAAG
rnacentral:rRNA from 1 species